GAUGAAGAACGUAGCGAAAUGCGAUAAGUAAUGCGAAUUGCAGAAUUCCGUGAGUCAUCGAAUCUUUGAACGCACAUUGCGCCCUCUGGUAUUCCGGAGGGCAUGCCUGUCUGAGCGUCAUUGUCAACCCUCAAGCUCAGCUUGCUGCUGGGUCCCCGUCGUUGCUUUAACGGCGGACCCGAAAGGUAAUGGCAGAGUCCGUGAGACCCUAGACGCAGCGAGCUUCUAGCACGCGUCUGGACGUUUUUCGGGCUCGGUCUUAACUAGAUGAUAACUUCCGAUUGACCUCAGAUCAGGUAGGGAUACCCGCUGAACUUAAGCAUAUCAAUAAGCGGAGGA
rnacentral:misc_RNA from 1 species